rnacentral:rRNA from 15 species
GGGUGUGAUAAUGCCAGCACUAAAGCACCGGAUCCCAACAGAACUCCGAAGUUAAGCGCCGACUUUGGAGAGAGUAGUACUAGGAUGGGUGACCACCUGGGAAGUCCUCGUGUUUCUCUCC